GGGAAGUUUAAAAGGACCGCGCGCUGGAGCUCCUAAGCGUGCGCCCCUUCUACUUCGUUUACUUAUGUGACGUGAAGACAUAAAGCAAACCUUUGGAGCCAUAGUUGUCUUUCUUGUCAUCUAAAAUAAUAAUGGUAACAUAUAAAUACAAACAAAAAAAUAUUCUAGCUCAAAAAAUUGUAUGUGAAUAAUGAAUGGAUGCUAUAGAACUAUAUUUGUUAUGGAUCUAUGUAUGUAUGGAUGCUAUGGAACUAUAUGUAUAUAUGGAUGCUAUGGAAUUUUGGAUGUAUGGAUGCUAUGGAGUUUUGAUAUAUGGAUCAUGAAAUUUGUU
rnacentral:lncRNA from 1 species